rnacentral:lncRNA from 1 species
CUAGAUUACACACUGGGUCUUUCCAGGGGAAUGAAGGCUUUGGCUGACAGCAGAAAGCAGGUUUCAACACACAUGGGAACAAGAUAUAUUCAUGGAAUGUGCCUUUGAACCUGCAUUCAAAAGAACUCAGACAGAGUUCCAACCAAAGAGAGCAGUUUCAAACAGCCUGUGAAAUCCAAGUAGAUUUCUACCAUACAGAAGUCUAUUUCCUGAUGGAUUCUCUACCCUUUUUCCUGAAUGAUGGACAAAGAGUGAUACGUGUUAUGGAUGGAAGAUAGUGGCCAGCUCAGGAUUGAGUGUCUUCAGAAAUUAUGUCCAAAUGAAUCAUGGACUGAACCCAUUUUGUUAUACUAAAAUUUCCUUUGUGCACUAGAGGUCAUAAAAAUGUUUCACUGCCAAAUCUAGACCACUUUAUCCUCCAAUGAAAUUAUGAUUUCUAAAGCACAAAAUCUAAGAAAAACUCACAUUGGGUAGCAAGCAAGGCCAGCCAGUUCAUCAAUAGCCAGGCAUAAAAGUCUACAUGUUUCAUUUUGCCAAUAAGCUUGUCUGCUUCAUCUGGUGCCAACAACUCAAUCCUCUGAACAUCACAUAUUGAAUAAAGGAACCUUUUCAAAUCUACGGAAUACUUCAGUUCUCAUCUUUCUAAUGUAUCAUCUGAUACAAGGGUUCAUUCUAUCCUUCUAGAGUUAAUAAAUGAUUACUGUACCAAGUCUGAUAUUCUGGAGGUGCUGAAGUAAAAACUGCCCCAAACGUCCCCUCAGGACAGUGGUUAUUUUUUAAAACAAAUUUACUGUGUAUCCUGGAGUUUCUAGAAGUUCACUUAUGCAGAAAACUGAAUACAACAUUCACCACUGAGGUUUUAACUUUCCAUUCUUUG